CCUACGGGAGGCAGCAGUAGGGAAUUUUCCACAAUGGGCGAAAGCCUGAUGGAGCAACGCCGCGUGGGUGAAGAAGGUCUUCGGAUCGUAAAACCCUGUUGUUAGAGAAGAAAGUGCGUGAGAGUAACUGUUCACGUUUCGACGGUAUCUAACCAGAAAGCCACGGCUAACAACGUGCCAGCAGCCGCGGUAAUACGUAGGUGGCAAGCGUUAUCCGGAUUUAUUGGGCGUAAAGGGAACGCAGGCGGUCUUUUAAGUCUGAUGUGAAAGGCUUCGGCUUAACCGGAGUAGCGCAUUGGAAACUGGGAGACUUGAGUGCAGAAGAGGAGAGUGGAACUCCAUGUGUAGCGGUGAAAUGCGUAGAUAUAUGGAAGAACACCAGUGGCGAAAGCGGCUCUCUGGUCUGUAACUGACGCUGAGGUUCGAAAGCGUGGGUAGCAAACAGGAUUAGAUACCCUAGUAGUC
rnacentral:rRNA from 1 species